rnacentral:rRNA from 1 species
CAAGUGAAGAAGCGCAUACGGUGGAUGCCUUGGCAGUCAGAGGCGAUGAAAGACGUGGUAGCCUGCGAUAAGCUUCGGGGAGUCGGCAAACAGACUUUGAUCCGGAGAUCUCUGAAUGGGGGAACCCACUCAGCAUAAGCUGAGUAUCUUGUACUGAAUACAUAGGUGCAAGAGGCGAACCAGGGGAACUGAAACAUCUAAGUACCCUGAGGAAAAGAAAUCAACCGAGAUUCCCUUAGUAGUGGCGAGCGAACGGGGACUAGCCCUUAAGUGGCUUUGAGAUUAGCGGAACGCUCUGGAAAGUGCGGCCAUAGUGGGUGAUAGCCCUGUACGCGAAAAUCUCUUAGUCAUGAAAUCGAGUAGGACGGAGCACGAGAAACUUUGUCUGAAUAUGGGGGGACCAUCCUCCAAGGCUAAAUACUACUGACUGACCGAUAGUGAACCAGUACCGUGAGGGAAAGGCGAAAAGAACCCCGGAGAGGGGAGUGAAAUAGA